GGAUAGUGUAGGUAGAGCAUACAUACUGAAAAUUUAUUUCUUUCACAGGAUAAUUAAAUUUUGUACCCUAAGUCAAAUUUAUUCUUGACUUGAAGGACUCCAGAAUCCCUCAGUUUAUUUAAUGUUAAGGGUAGCAAAAAUUCUUAUGGCUGAUGUUCUUCCCUUUUCUGAUGAGUCACUGUAAAAAAUUAAGGUUUUAUAAGCAAUAGUGAGAAAAGUACCUGGUCCAUUGAAACUCAUACCUAAAUUAUCCCAUAGAAAUAUCCCAUAGAAAUGAAUACUAUAUUAAAACACUUCCAGAGAUCUGUUUCGUCUUUUGCCCAAAAUAUUUCCCAAGUAAACAUAAGUACAGCAUCUCACUUUUCAUAUCUAUUUUGUUCUGCUCUGGAAAGCAACAAUUAUUGUCCUCCAGAACAGAAAAAGCUGAAAUUAAGGCCAUCACUGUUGACAUUUUAGAGUCAGUACCAAGUUAAUGUCUGUAUCUGAAUUAAUUACAAUGGACAUUAAAAUGAGAAAUAGGAUUUUUUUGAUUAUUUCCCUCUUGAUGCCAAGGACAAUAUUACAUACAGUAUAAGGUAAAUAAAUUCAUCAAUAAGGCUUAUAGUUUUCAUUGUCUGUCACUAUCAUACAUUAGGAUCUACCUGUCAUUUCUUACCGUUUUGGGGACAAAGCUAAAGAAGUAUGCCAGGUUAAGUCAAUUGAGGAAUUUUUAGAUUACAUGUCAAAAGAAAUAUUUUUCUCACUUUGUCAUGCCACCAAUGCAUAAUACAUUCCAAGCUUGAACUGAACUAAUCAGCAGGUUCUUUUCUGGUAAUGUUUAAUUAGUAUUGUUUAUGAUUCAGUUAUUAAGUUUUGUAGUCAGUUCAUUAGAGUUGGCUUUAUUCCUAUAAGAUUGACCCAUGAUUUAGCCAUUUCAUUCAGCUUCCUGGAUUCAGUUUUCCCUUUUCAAAUUACUGUUAUUUGAUUACCCUUUGGAAAGAUCAAGCUAUUAAUUUAAUUACAAUUAUUGAUAUUAAAUGUUUUGAUUGAGAAGAAAUGUAUAUGUUUUGACAUAAAGAUUUAGUGAUCACUUACUAUUUGUAAGGCAUUAUACUAGGCUAUGAAAUUUGGAAUUUAUUAAAAAUUGUCUUAUGUUAAGCCAAUGUAUAAACUAAUUAAGUUCUGUGCAG
rnacentral:lncRNA from 1 species